rnacentral:rRNA from 1 species
CAGCCGCCGCGGUAAUACGAAGGGUGCAAGCGUUACUCGGAAUUACUGGGCGUAAAGCGUGCGUAGGUGGUGGUUUAAGUCCGUUGUGAAAGCCCUGGGCUCAACCUGGGAAUUGCAGUGGAUACUGGGUCACUAGAGUGUGGUAGAGGAUAGUGGAAUUUCCGGUGUAGCAGUGAAAUGCGUAGAGAUCGGAAGGAACAUCUGUGGCGAAGGCGACUAUCUGGGCCAACACUGACACUGAGGCACGAAAGCGUGGGGAGCAAACAGGAUUAGAGACCCGAGUAGUCCCUGUCUCUUAUAC